rnacentral:lncRNA from 1 species
AUUCUUCUGAACUGAGGUUGACUGCAGAUAACCAAAACCAUGGAUAAGUCCUUGCAGCCAGGACAUGUGACCUGAUUCUGAGAAAUGGCCCCAUAGAAGUUUGAUAAGGAGGUUUUGAAAUGCUUUCCUUCCCGAUGAAAAGAACUAUGUGAGAAGAAAACUACUUUUUUUUUUCCAUCUUGGACAUAGUUGUAUGAAGUGUGAUGCCUGGAGUUAUGACAGCCAUCUUGCAACCAUGAGAAGAUAAGGCUGUGGAUGAAAACCAAUAUACCAAGAAUGGUUGUGUUAAAAGAUGAAAAGAGCUUGGGUCUUGAAUGUCAUCACUGAACACUUCACCAGUUUUCAAACAGCCCUAUUUCUGAACUCUUGUGAUGUGAGAUUACUAAUGUCCUCAUUAUUUAAGCUACAUUAGUAGUUGGAUUUCUUGUCACAUGUAGCUGAAAAUAUCCUAGCUAAUACAUCAACAAAUAAAUGAGUAAAUAAUAAAAUUUUUAAUUAAAAAGAAAAAUUGAGCUCUAUACAUAUUGUAUGCAUGUAUCAAAAUCUCACUUGUACUCUAUAAAUAUGUUCAACUAUUAUGGAUCCAUUUUUUAAACAUACAAAUUUGAACUCUUUUUUUUUCUUUUUAUGUUUCUGCCAGCAGGAAGUCAAAAUCUGAACUCUUUUUGUGUUUAUAUGCAUCCGUUUUUUAAAUGACCUGAUGAAAUUAAAACUGUUGAGAAAAAUUAAAAAAAAAAAAGAAAUGAGUGGGCCGGGCGCAGUGGCUCACGCCUGUAAUCCCAGCACUUUGGGAGGCAGAGGCAGAUGGAUCAUGAGAUCAGGAGAUCGAGACCAACCUGACUAAUAUGGUGAAGCCCCGUCUCUACUAAAAAUACAAAAAAUUAGCCAGGCAUGGUGGCGGGUGCCUGUAGUACCAGCUACUUGGGAGGCUGAGACAGGAGAAUGGCGUGAACCUGGGAGGCAGAGCUUGCGGUGAGCUGAGAUCACGCCACUGCACUCCAGCCUGGAUGACACAGCAAGACCCCAUCUCAAAAAAAAAAAAAAAAAAAAGAAAGGAGUAAAUAGAAAAUGAAAGUAGAGGAUACAAACCUCUUGGAAAAGAGACCCAAGAGACGGCAUGUAACUAGAAAUGGCAGGAGAGACAAAAGAUAUAUUCUGAGGAGAAACAGAAAGAGUGAUAGCAAACAUGCCAAAACAUGUGAAGGUGAUAUUCCACAGGAGGUGGGUAAGGGUAGCUAGGAGCUGGGAGUAUUAGCUUUAGAAACACAGAAGUAAAAACUCCUCCUUUAAAAUCAAAAAGAGGCCGGGCGUGGUGGCUCACACUUGUAAUCCCAGCACUUUGGGAGGCCAAGGUGGGUGGAUCAUUUGAGGUCAGGAGUUUGAGACCAGCCUGGCCAACAUGGUGAAACCCCGUCUGUACUAAAAAUACAAAAAUUAGCCGGGCAUGGUGGUGCUUGCCUGUAACCCCAGAUACUCGGGAGGCUGAGGCACAAGAAUCACUUGAACCUGGGAGAUGGAGGUUGCAAUAAGCCAAGAUGGCGCCACUACACUCCAGUCCAGGUGACAGAGUGAGACCCUAUCUCAAUAAAUAAAUAAAUAAAAUCAAAAAGAAAGCCAGGAAGAGGAAAGAUGAUAGAACAGGUAUCAGAUAAUACCAGUUUCUUUUACUAAACUCAUCCAAGGAUUACAGUAAAUUAAGCAAUUAAAUAAUGAGUGAUGCUUAAUUUUGACUUCAGAAUGUCAAUAGCAUGACUUCUUCUCAAAGGACAGACGUAUCUGUAAGUGUAAGAAAAUUGGGAAACAUGGCUACAUUUGGAGCCAAGGAAGUUUUACUAUACAAUAUUUAGAAUAACUGACAUUAUUUCUCUUUUCUGUUGUUGAAAAUGCAGCCCCUUCCAUUAUAAAACCAUGUAUCUCAUGGAAUGUGAUUUUCCAUCUCUAUUUAUCUCUAUUUAUCCUUCCAGCCCAUUCAUUUCUAAGCUUAAACUAUCUAUUGCUCACCCUGAGCACUUGGAGAAUGUUACUUUUCCUCUUCAACUGAUGGAAUCCAGAACUGAAGGUAGCCAGAGAUUAGCAAUGAGGAAAUGGAAGCAGACAGUAAUGAAGUCUAUGGCAAGUUAGUGAAGGUGUAAAACAGAAUAAUAAAAAAUAUUUUAUUAAUCAAAAAAGGUAAGAAAAAAAGGAAACAUAAAACAAACAGGUCUACAUAUAGAAACCAAUGGUAGACAGUAGAAAUAAACUCAACUGUAUCAGUUUUAGUAUAAACUAACUAAAUAACCCAAGUAAAAAGCCAAGACUGUAAUACUGGAUAAAAAUAUAUGUUGCUUACAACAACCACAUUUUAAGUAUAAGAAAUAGAUUGAAUGUGAGAGGAUAGAAAAAGAGUCACCAUGUAAAUAUUCACCACAAGGGAGCUGAGGUAGCUAUCCUAAUAUCAGACAAAAGAGAUUGUAAUGCAAGAAGUGUUACCAAACAUAAAGAGGGGCACUUUAUGUGAUCAGGACUGAAUCCAACAGAAAGAUAUCACAGUCCUAAAUCCAAACACACUCAAUAACAUAGCUUCAAAAUACAAAAAGUAAGAAAUUGACAGAUCUAAAUUCCACUGAGAUUGGGAGGCCAAAGCAGGCGUAUCACUUGAGGUCAGGAGUUUCAGACCAGCCUGGCCAACAUGGUGAAACCCCAUCUCUACCAAAAUUACAAAAAAUGAACUGGGCUUGGUGGUGCAUGCCUGUAAUCCCAGCUUCUCAAGAGGCUGAAGCAGGAGAAUCACUUGAAUCUGGGAGGCGGAGGUUGCAGUGAGCCGAGAUCAUGCCACUGCACUCCAGCCGGGGCAACAGAGAGACACUCCAUCUCAAAAAUAAAUAAACAAAUUCCACUGAGGGAAGUCAUUGAUAGAAUUCAAGACAAGUCUGAAGAGUGAAACACUACUAAUUCUGAACUCAUUAUCACAAAGCUCCUAACUUGUAUGAGUCCUGACUGGCAUGAAGUUGUCUCAGGGACUCAAACGGGGGCAGCAGUUUGAUGGUUAGCUUCAUCUAGCCCACUAGAUCUCUUGCAAGGUGAGACCUCUAGAAAACAUCUCCAGCACUUCAUUUAAAGUAUUAUGGGUAUAUUAUAUCCUUAAGUAAGAAACGGUGCAGCCCAUCUGCAUUUUUCUAAAUGAAUUCCAAUCAGGGUCAGCAGGACACCAGGGCCCUGUCCCAGACUUGAGAUCCACCAGCUCCUGUUUUUGUCAAAAAAUAAACAUAAUCUGGCAGCUGCAUCUUGGAACCCGGCAGCUCAGGAGUCCUCAUCAGACACUUAGAACAGCAAAGGUCUCCAGGAUUAUGGUCCAAAGGGUCAUAAAUAUGUAGCGAAUUUUAAAAUGCUGGUUUCCUCCCCAGCAAGGAGUACAUCACUCAGUUCUGCUGUGUCACCAGUAAUAUCUACCCCAAAAGCUACUAUUUCAGGAGGACCAUUUAUCUCUCUCCAUCCUGUCUGCGUAGCAGGCCAUUGCCUGCCCCCACAACACUCACUGCCCCCUCUCAAAAUCUCAGGCCAUAAUCUCUGCAUUAGAAUCACUUUCUCCAGAAACAGAUCAUUCUGCUACAUUUGCCCAGCUUUAACCUUCAAUUUCAAGUUUGCUUCAGAACCCACAACCCAGCAGUACACAGUGAUUGUCUUUUCUUCUUCUACUGCAAGCUUUGUAGUCUAAUAUGUACCACAGGAAGAAAAUACACAGGACAAGUUUGGUUAGUCUGAAAUUUCCUUAUUAUCUCUAAGAGUGCUGUGGGUGGUUGAGGCACUCUGGAAUGUCAUGGGACUUUAGCUUACUGUAAUUUACCAGUUGUGAAAUAUAUCAGUUCCUUUUUCUUUUCUUAAAAUUUUCUUUUAUUAAAGAGUCAACAAAUUUAGCACUUGAUGGGUCCCCUUAAAUGUAAAUAGCCAGGUACCUUUAGAAGUCUAAAAGUAAAAUGAAACUAACCAAAUAGUUAGUGGCUUCUCUACCGGUGUUGGCCAAAUUGGGAGAGACAGAGGACCUAGAAAUUUAUAUCUUUCAAUUAUUGAAUAGGAAAAAUUAAAGAAAUAUAGCUAUCAUUUAAUCCAGCUUCUGUCUCUCAUAAAAAAUGGAUUCAGUGGCUUGUGCAAACCAAAUGUCCCAGACCUCAGAAGCUCCAGAGACCCAAAUCAGGCCCCACUUCCAGUCUGUAACACAGCCCCAGCCUGUAAUGCUCCAACUUAGUUGGUCAAAAGAACUUAGUAUUUUAUCAGAUUCUUCCCCCUCACGUCCAGCCCGCCAAAUAUCUCAAGGGAACCCAGGAGGUGACACGAUCCACACUCCCUCCUAACAGCCACAACUGCCCCUCCAGCCCCCAGGCCUGCCCUGCAGCCUUCCCACCCUUCCCCAGGCCGCUCUCCCCAGCCCUGGCCUCCUGCGUUCCUCUUGUGCAGCUUCUCUCGGGCACAGACACAAACCUCACCGGAGUUGUGUGGGAAGAUCCCAAAGCCCUUCCCAAUGCCACCCUGCAGGGUACUGGGAUGCAUGGGGGUAGUUGUGGCCUGUGGUCCCACUCAUGCCCCUGCUUCUUGUCCCUCAUGUCACUUCUUUCCCAGGUGAACAUGGUCCUUUUUUGCCUUCAGUCCCCAAAUCCACCUGUACAAAUUUGCCAGAUAUGGCAGGCUCUCCAUGAAGGUUUUGGGAUAACACAGAGGGAGCACAGCGUACCCACCAAACAGAACAACCUUGAGGUAGAAUAGGGUCUGAAGGCAGGGAACCUAAGGCUGUUUCACAUUGACUUCAUAGAACUAAAUUGAAAGGAAAACCCUAACUUUCCAUGCCUAAGUAACAAAAGGACCAGAGGCUACUCCCUUUGCAAACCCCCACCUUUUCUACAGGGCAGAUGGGAAACUGAAAGUAUCUCUGAUUGGUGCCAAGCAACCAAUCAGAUGUUUGCAUAGGAGUGUAACUUCAUAACUUCACUUCAGCCUCUGACUGGUUGCUGUCCACAGCCAAUCAGACUGAUUGCGGACCAAGUCUUCCUUUGCAUAAAAGUGCAACUUUGUAACUUCACCUUAGCCUCUCAUGCUAAAGUGAAUCUUAGGAGUUUGCAUAGGAGUGUGACCCUUGUAACCACUUCAGCCUCUGAGUGGAAAGCAACCAGAUUGAUUGCAGGCCACCACUUCAUUUACAUGGGUGAACACCAGGUGGCCAGUGGGAAACCUCUAGGAGGUAUUUGGACCCAAGAAGAUUGUGUAUCAGGACCCUUGUGUCCCUAUGCUCGGGCCCACCCCCACACUGUGGACAGUACUUUCAUUUUCAAUAAAUCUCUGCUUUUGUUGCCUCACUCUUCCCUUACUUUGUUUGUGUGUUUUGCCCAAUUCUUUGUUCAAGAUGCCAAGAACCUGGACAUGCUUCACCAACAGCAACCUGAAAUUGAAAACCGCUAAUCAUUGUUCUUAAAAGGUCCUUGGCCAUCCAAGCCCUGGGGGUUUUCUACUGGCAGCCCUGAUCUCAUACUCAUCCCACCACCAGUCCCUGGGUCCUCCCCAUCCUUCUGCUCUUAUCUCCACUGCUUCUCCUUUCCCAGGCUCUUCUUCCCUCUCCAGAGCUACCCUGACAUUUCAGUUUCAUCUUCUUUUAUUGUACUGUGUGUUUCAGCAAUCUGAGUGUUACUGUCUCCCACUCAUCCUCACCUUUUGAAGAAAGAACCAAAAACAAAAACAAAAAAAGUCAAUAUAGGCCUUUCAAGAUACUCCAAAAACUUAAGAAAAAAGUGUUAAGGCUAUAUUACAAGACCCCAGAAAAAUGAUGCUCAGAAGACAAAAGCAGUAAUUUUUAGUUUAAAUAGUACUUUUUCUCUGGCAGUAAGUACAUCAGGGAGAGUCAAGACUUCCUCUUGGAAAAGUAUGCCAUCUGGUUCUUGUCAUACUGUUGUGCUCCUUAACUCAUUUCAUGCAAAAUUUCCAGCACCAUGUUUGAGGGACCCUGAUUACUCCUCAUCCAUGCAGUUUCAGAGCCACAGGAGAGAUGCAUGUGGGUGGGCAGAAGUGGAAGUUGUUUAUGAGCAUGAAGUAUUUCUGAGAAAUGAACGCAUUGAUGUUGGGAUUUGAAAUCUGAUUUAUCUCUUUGAUGAUUACGGGAGGAAAUUUUAUUAUAAACAAUAAUAUUUGCUGGCAUAUGCAUGGAUGUCUGAACUCAGAUGAUAAAAACUAGAGGAUUUUGAGCAUCUUGGAAAAAAAUUGUACAAUUAAUUUAAGAUUUCUUACAUGACCUAGAAAAUGAAAAGGGGAAGCAAAUACACUGGAAAAAAAAGAAGGUGGAGGAGGAUCACAUUACUCCUUCACAGUUAAUUAGAAGAACUUUCAACCAAAACACAUAACUGGGUAACAAAUACCAGGUAAUUUUCUUUGACUGAAUUUUUUUUCACUUCAUUUUCUUUGAAGUGAAAAAAAGUAAUUUUUAAAUACAGGAAAUAAUAUUUUAUGACUGAGUAUUCUCUUCAAAGAAUCUGGGUCAGCAGCUCAUUUCAAAUUUUCAGUGCCUAGAGGACGAUAAUACUUAGUGCUGUUUGCUGGUGAUUUACAACACUUUCGUGGCUUAAGACCAAGAAUAUACAUAUUAAAAAUCAUGCUCUGCCUGAAUCCAACAAGCAGAUGCCCCACCUUCUUUUAAGGAAGAACAUGACAAUAAUGAACGGAUAAUAGAGUACAAACAAAGACACUCAAACUGCAUUUCCUAAUGUUGCAAAUGUUAAUAUUGAGUAACAAAGCAUCAUUUCUAUUAAAGCUGGCCUUCAGCCACUCCCUUAUGAGGUAGGUGGAAAGAAAUCUUUUUACUUUCCCAUAAUUCUACUACUUACGGGAAAGCAAGUUGACUUUGCCCAGCAUUGAUGCAAAGAGCAUGACACAGAGUUCAAGCCGCAGCACUGCUGCUCAGGAGAGUGGAAAAGAGAAAAGUUAUUGGCACAAUAGCAACCAAGUGUUUCAUCUAAAUGUUCUGUUUCUUGAGCUCCCAGGUAACUCAGCUUCACAUCUUUUCCUUGUACAGGUCAACUCCACUUAGGUAGAAUGUGAAUAUAUAGUAUGAGAGGCCAAAAACCCAUACCUAUAUAAGCAAAAUUAUCUCCCCCUACUGCCAAUUCAUAAAAAUAACACCUGCCAGAAUGGAACAGAAUGCUGAAAAGUCUACCUUGAAAAGAUGAGCGAUUUUCAAGCCAAGAAAACUUGAAUGUAUGAAACCCCCUAGAAAGAAUGUGUCAUCCAGGGGGUAAUUGGCCCAUCGCAGAAACAUGGAAAAGAGGAAAAGGAAGACAGCAGGGCACAGUGUUCAUAAGAAAGAGACACAGGAUGCUUUUUAAGAAACUUGGGUGUGAAAGCAAAACAGGCAAUAUUUAGAAAGGAACUUUUGGUCAAUGGGUGGAAAUGGGUUAAAAUAGGAGCCAUUUGCACAUAAUUAUAUUCUAAGGGGAAGGAAGCAAUAGAGAGAGCAAUUGAAAAUGUAAGGAAGAGAGGGAAGAACUGAUGUGGGUGAGGGUGCAUGUUUAGAACACAGGCUGGGAAGAGUCGGCCGCGGGAGUCACACUGCUAAUAAAAGGCAGAGACCAGGGGUUUUUGGACCUGGGUGCAAAUUGUGGUCUUGCCACUUUCUAUCUGAGGGACCUUGUCACCCUGAUGGUGAAAAACAAGCCUGUAACAGAAGAAAGGAAAGACAAGAACUGGGAGGCUGUGAUAAGGGAGCUGCAUAUAUCAGCAGUGCAGCAAGUCUGGCUGUUGACAUGGUUCUUGGUGAGCCCAAGAGAGCUGACUGCUGGAAAAGAGUAGAGGAGAACAUUUUCAGCCUCAGAAAUAUCACUGGCCUCUGAUGGGAGAGAUAAGUGGUCUCAGGGCCUAAUGAGUGCUGGAGAAUUCAUUCAUUCAUUCAGUGAACAUGACUGAGGCCUCUCACUUUGCUAGACAUUUUGGAAGACAGGGGUCAAAAUCACAGUUCCUACUCUCAAUUAGCUCACAGCCCUGUACUAGUGAUGGACAAAGAACCAGUAUGUGACAGUUCAGACUAAUAAGCCCAACAAGAGAGGGAUAUACAGGACACUGUGGGACCCCUAAAGGGAGCACCUUGUGCAGAGGUAGAAGGAUAGGAAUGAACGAGGGGUGACGGGUAACAGGAAGAGAGAGAAGCACCGCAGGAGUCUCUGAAGAGUGUUCACAGGGGGUGCGAGGCUUGCUGUGCAGAAACCAAUAGGGGCAGGUGAGAAAUGCUGACCCCAAGGGAUGAGCAGGCUCAUGUCAGGGUGCUACAACCGUCCCCUCCUCUUCACUCUUUCCUGCACCCCAGACUCCAAGUCUUAAACUAGGUUAUCUCCCCAGUGGCCUGGCCUGCCCCCCGAAUGCUCUCAAACCAGUAUCUUCUAACCCUAGUCAAAAAUUACCCCUUCCCUUCAGCUAGCCAUUAGAAUUGAAACAAAUUCCCACUGCCAUGUGAAAGUCUGAUUAUCCUACUGUUCCCAAGGCACCAGCCUUUUAGUGGGAUGUUUGCUGUAGUAGAUUGUAUCUUCCAAAAAUGGCCACAAAAUGUUUCUGAGUCCACAUGCUCAUCCAGAAACUUUCUACUCCCUCAUUAAGAGAUAGAAUCUAUUUCCCUUCCCCUUGAAAUUGGGCUGCCUUUGUGACUUCUUCAAUAAAAAGAGCUGCUUGGAACCCCCACCCACAGCCCUUACCUCCCCUGCAUCCAUGAGCACACCCCUCUGGGACUAUACUGUCUACCAUUGCCUCCCUGACUUGGGACUUUGGCUCUGGA